UGCAAGAAAACUUGCUUGGAGUAAUGAUUGAUAAUUUAGGAAUGGACGACUUUGCUUAUAAUUGUGGUGAUGGCAGAUUUCCAUUGUUGUCAAAAAUUAACGACGUUGUGUCAAAGACGACAACCCAAACACCAAUAAGAACAACUUUUGGUCCUUUUACAGCCCGCCCUACAACUACUAAAACAACUACAACAACUACCAGGACGACAACAACACCAAGACCAACAACCACAACAAACAACGACUCAACAAUCUGUUAAAUGUGGCAUAAAUGGUCCAAUGCCAUGUAAACAUGGAGCAUUUUAUGCAGAUUCAUGUGACAAGAAUGUCUACUAUCAAUGUUUAUGGGGUAGACCUGUGCAACAACGCUGCAAUUGGAGUCUUGUAUGGAAUCAAGCAGGAUUACGUUGAGACAGGACAUAAAAGUUAUUCAAGAAUUUGACUUUGAAAUAUUGGAUUGUGAACAUUUGAUUUUGUAGAAGUUGUAACCAAAACAUGAGUAGAGUAUAUUUUGUGUAUAAUAAUAUAUCAUUUACAACUAAUUUUAACAUUUGUCUCUUUUCUAUAGUUUGCUCUAUAAUUCAAGAUUUAUUCAAUUUAAUUUUUUUCUCAUCAAAGAGAAAGUCAAAUUGAAUUUCACUUUUAGUGUAUUCUGGAGCUCUCUUCUCAUAAAAAAACCAAAGCAACACGGUCACAAGUUUUUUCCUAGAACGAAAUAAGAAAAAUAGAUGUUUACCUGUUUUCAUCUAGGUUUUGUAAGGAAAAAAUAAGAUGUCAUUGAAAACAAUAAGUCAAUUAUAGAGACAACACCAGAGCCAAAAGGAGGAACAUUAACAAAUAAUCAAUAUUUUACAUAGAAAACUAAAGAUGGACGGACAAAAAAAGAAAUCAGUAAUGAGAUUAGGCGCCCGGAAGUGUAGCAUCAUCUUCUUCACCUCUGCGCUGAAGUUCAUCUUGCACCCUAUAAUAGCGGAUUGGUAAAUAAACUCAUCAUAGAUACCAGGAUUGAAAUAAAUGUAACUCGUCUUUACCAAAAAACAUUAUUUCAAUUAAAAAUUGGUACGUACAAUGAAAUAAUUAAUUUUAUGACCGAAUGUAUAAGAUUGAAAGGAUAACAGUUACAUAUAGAAACAGCCAAGACAUGAAAUAAAAAUAUCACAAAUGGUCUACACAGAAAACUAAUGUAAAAACCACACGAACCCCUUUUAUCACCUAUCGCACUCAUCGUAUUGCUCAUGGCAAGUCAAAAUCCGAGGACAAAUGUUAAUACUUGAUUUCAGACAUUCUGAUUUUCGGUCAACGAAACGUCAAAUAGGGGAAGUGAAUAGAUUUGUUGUACCUAUUGUUUAAUAUUUUUCAUGACUGAUCGAGUUUCAUUUAAAAGUGUAAUCAGAAAGAUAUUCAAUGAUCACUUGAAUUUUUAAAAAGGAUGUAAUUGUGAUGUCUAUCUAUGUAAAGGGAAAUAUGUAUUAUUCCCUUGUGUAUUUUGUUUAAAUAAAAUUAUUCAUAUUUU